rnacentral:rRNA from 1 species
UGCUUACAAUGCAGUCGACGGUCUCUUCGGAGAUAGUGGCGGACGGGUGAGUAACGCGUGAGAACAUGCCUUUAGAUUGGGGACAACAGUUGGAAACGACUGCUAAUACCGAAUGUGCCUUAGGGUGAAAGAUUUAUUGUCUAGAGAUUGGCUCGCGUCAGAUUAACUAGUUGGAGUGGUAACGGCACACCAAGGCGACGAUCUGUACUUGGUCUGAGAGGAUGACCAGGCACACUGGAACUGAGACACGGUCCAGACUCCUACGGGAGGCAGCAGUGGGGAAUUUUCCGCAAUGGGCGAAAGCCUGACGGAGCAAUACCGCGUGAGGGAGGACGGCUUUUGGGUUGUAAACCUCUUUUAUCAGGGAAGAAUCGAUGACGGUACCUGAUGAAUCAGCAUCGGCUAACUCCGUGCCAGCAGCCGCGGUAAUACGGAGGAUGCAAGCGUUAUCCGGAAUUAUUGGGCGUAAAGCGUCCGUAGGUGGUUUAUCAAGUCUGCUGUCAAAGCGUGCGGCUUAACCGCAUAAGGGCAGUGGAAACUGAUGAACUAGAGUGCGAUAGGGGUAACAGGAAUUCCCAGUGUAGCGGUGAAAUGCGUAGAUAUUGGGAAGAACACCAGCGGCGAAAGCGUGUUACUGGGUCUGCACUGACACUGAGGGACGAAAGCUAGGGGAGCGAAAGGGAUUAGAUACCCCUGUAGUCCUAGCCGUAAACGAUGACAACUAGGCGUGGUUCGUAUCGACCCGAGCCGUG